rnacentral:rRNA from 1 species
AUUGAACGCUGGCGGCAGGCCUAACACAUGCAAGUCGAACGAGUGGCGGACGGGUGAGUAAUGUCUGGGAAACUGCCUGAUGGAGGGGGAUAACUACUGGAAACGGUAGCUAAUACCGCAUACCAUCAGAUGUGCCCAGAUGGGAUUAGCUUGGUGGUGGGGUAACGGCUCGCCAAGGCGACGAUCCCUAGCUGGUCUGAGAGGAUGCGCACCCACACUGGAACCGAGACAGGGUCCAGACUCCUAGGGGGGGCAGCAGGGGGGAAUAUUGCACAAGGGGCGAAAGCCUGAUGCCGCCAUGCCGCGUGUAUGAAGAAGGCCUUCGGGGUGUAAAGUACUUUCAGCGGGGAGGCGUUACCCGCAGAAGAAGCACCGGCUAACUCCGUGCCAGCAGCCGCGGUAUUC